AAAACGAAUUAGGAUUUUGGAAUCACGUUCUAUUGGAACUAGAAAGCAAAUCCUAAAUUCUUAAUUCUACUCCUAGCCCACUUGAAAAGCCCAACCAUUAAAACCCAAAAGAACUCAAACCCUCACCCAAAACAAAUUCACGUAAAAAGAAAAAUCAAGCCUCCUCUCCCUCCUUCAACUCCACGUACAGCAUCCUCCCUGCAGUUUUCUCUCCUCCCUUCGUCCGCCGCUUCUGCCCAGCCACCGGACAACCAUCACCGCCGCACCACCAGUGCACGCAACAACCAGCCCUGUCGCCUGUUCCUAGCCGCCACCUACUCGCGCCGCCGGUCUAUCGCAUUAUAUUUCCCGCCAUCGCACGACCCAGCCGCGUCGACGACAACCAUCAACCCAGCCGCUGCCGCGCCGCCGUCCCCGGACCGCCGGCCGCCCACUCUUCCUCUUCUUUUGGCGGAGAAUUCUCUUUAGGCGACUUUUGAAAGUGUUAAGGUGGCCUAUCAGUUUGUUUACACAAGUCUCUAAGGAUCAAUAAGCGUUGCCCAUCUACAGGUUUGAAGAUGAUGCAUCAUUGGGAUCGGGAUUAGAGAGCUUGUAGUUCUAUUCGGUUAAUUAAGUGAUUUAAUUUGUUAACUUGGAUUUGAAAUUUGUCGUACUAUUCGUAUUUCCUUAAUUCAGUUAAUUGGUUUGGACCUAAUAUGUAAUAGCUUAUUUAUGAACCUAAAAGUUAGUUUAUGUUUUCCGCUGCAAAAUUCUGAAUAAGCCGUAACGUUUUCACACGGGCGAUAAUACUUUGAUAAUUCCCUACAGUUAUAU